GAUGAACGCUGGCGGCGUGCCUAAUACAUGCAAGUCGAGCGAACAGACGAGGAGCUUGCUCCUCUGACGUUAGCGGCGGACGGGUGAGUAACACGUGGAUAACCUACCUAUAAGACUGGGAUAACUUCGGGAAACCGGAGCUAAUACCGGAUAAUAUAUUGAACCGCAUGGUUCAAAAGUGAAAGACGGUUUUGCUGUCACUUAUAGAUGGAUCCGCGCCGCAUUAGCUAGUUGGUAAGGUAACGGCUUACCAAGGCAACGAUGCGUAGCCGACCUGAGAGGGUGAUCGGCCACACUGGAACUGAGACACGGUCCAGACUCCUACGGGAGGCAGCAGUAGGGAAUCUUCCGCAAUGGGCGAAAGCCUGACGGAGCAACGCCGCGUGAGUGAUGAAGGUCUUCGGAUCGUAAAACUCUGUUAUUAGGGAAGAACAAAUGUGUAAGUAACUAUGCACAUCUUGACGGUACCUAAUCAGAAAGCCACGGCUAACUACGUG
rnacentral:rRNA from 1 species